GAUGAACGCUGGCGGCGUGCCUAAUACAUGCAAGUCGAGCGAACAGAUGAGGAGCUUGCUCCUCUGACGUUAGCGGCGGACGGGUGAGUAACACGUGGAUAACCUACCUAUAAGACUGGGAUAACUUCGGGAAACCGGAGCUAAUACCGGAUAAUAUAUUGAACCGCAUGGUUCAAUAGUGAAAGACGGUUUUGCUGUCACUUAUAGAUGGAUCCACGCCGCAUUAGCUAGUUGGUAAGGUAACGGCUUACCAAGGCGACGAUGCGUAGCCGACCUGAGAGGGUGAUCGGCCACACUGGAACUGAGACACGGUCCAGACUCCUACGGGAGGCAGCAGUAGGGAAUCUUCCGCAAUGGGCGAAAGCCUGACGGAGCAACGCCGCGUGAGUGAUGAAGGUCUUCGGAUCGUAAAACUCUGUUAUUAGGGAAGAACAAAUGUGUAAGUAACUAUGCACGUCUUGACGGUACCUAAUCAGAAAGCCACGGCUAACUACGUG
rnacentral:rRNA from 1 species